UACGAAGGGGGCUAGCGUUGCUCGGAAUUACUGGGCGUAAAGCGCACGUAGGCGGAUUGUUAAGUCGGGGGUGAAAUCCUGGAGCUCAACUCCAGAACUGCCUUCGAUACUGGCGAUCUCGAGUUCGGGAGAGGUGAGUGGAACUGCGAGUGUAGAGGUGAAAUUCGUAGAUAUUCGCAAGAACACCAGUGGCGAAGGCGGCUCACUGGCCCGAAUACUGACGCUGAGGCACGAAAGCGUGGGGAGCGAACAGGA
rnacentral:rRNA from 1 species